rnacentral:lncRNA from 1 species
UUAAGUGGUGAGGUUGCAGCAACGGCUAAGCAUAUAUUUAAUGGCUAACUUACGAGUACAAGAAAUAAGAGGGGGAAGAUCUACGCAUAACGGACGUGAACUACUCGUGAUCAAAUGAAUGAUCCUGAACACCUACCUACGUCAGACAUAACCCCAUCGUGUCCUCGAUCGGAGAAGGAACUCACGAAAGAGACAGUCACGGUUACGCACACAGUUGGCAAGUUUUUAAUUAAGUUAACUUCAAGUUAUCUAGAACCAAUGUUAAACAAAGUUUCCACGUUGCCACAUAACCGCGGGCACGACUUUCCGAAAGAUUUAACCCUGCAGGGGUGCUCCAACUAGUCCAUCACAAAUUACCACAAGCUGCAUAGAAAUACUCAAUCACGAAGCUCGCGAUCUCGUCGGAUUCCCUAGUGGAAAACCUCAACUCUGAGAUUANNN